GACGAACGCUGGCGGCGUGCUUAACACAUGCAAGUCGAACGGAAAGGCCCUGCUUGCCGUGUACUCGAGUGGCGAACGGGUGAGUAACACGUGGGUGAUCUGCCCUGCAAACCGGGAUAAGCCUGGGAAACUGGGGCUAAUACCGGAUAGGAGCCAUUGUCAUCGUGUUGGUUGGUAAGUUUUUUGGGUGUCGGAGGAGCGCGCGGCGUAUCGGCUUGUUUGUGGGGUUAUGGACUACCCAGGCGGCCACGGGUAGCCGGCCUGUGUGGGUGGACGGCGACACUGGGACCGAGAGGCGGCCCAGACGGCGACGGGAGGCAGCAGUGGGGAAUAUUGAACCAGGGGCGCAGGGCGGAUGCAGCGGGGCCGCGUGGUGGAUGACCGCCUUCGGGUUGUAGAAUGCUUUCGCGAGGAACGAAGCUUGUUGUGACGGUACCUAGAUAAGAAGCCCCGGCUAACUACGUG
rnacentral:rRNA from 1 species